rnacentral:misc_RNA from 1 species
GAAAUGCGAUAAGUAAUGUGAAUUGCAGAAUUCAGUGAAUCAUCGAAUCUUUGAACGCAACUUGCGCUCCUUGGUAUUCCUUGGAGCAUGCCUGUUUGAGUAUCAUGAAAUCUUCAAAGUAAAUCUUUUGUUAACUCAAUUGGUUUCUACUUUGGUAUUGGAGGUCUUUGCAGCUUCACACCUGCUCCUCUUUGUUCAUUAGCUGGAUCUCAGUGUUAUGCUUGGUUCCACUCGGCGUGAUAAGUUAUCUAUCGCUGAGGACACUGUAAAAGGUGGCCAAGGUAAAUGCAGAUGAACCGCUUCUAAUAGUCCAUUGACUUGGACAAUACUUUUAUGAUCUGAUCUCAAAUCAGGUAGGACUACCCGCUGAACUUAAGC